CUACGUGCCAGCAGCCGCGGUAAUACGGAAGGUUCGGGCGUUAUCCGGAUUUAUUGGGUUUAAAGGGAGCGUAGGCCGGAGAUUAAGUGUGUUGUGAGAUGUAGACGCUCAACGUCUGACUUGCAGCGCAUACUGUUUUCCUUGAGUACGCACAACGUUGGCGGAAUUCGUCGUGUAGCGGUGAAAUGCUUAGAUAUGACGAAGAACUCCGAUUGCGAAGGCAGCUGACGGGAGCGCCACUGACGCUUAAGCUCGAAGGUGCGGGUAUCGAACAGGAUUAGAUACCCUGGUAGUCCGCACAGUAAACGAUGGAUGCCCGCUGUUGGUACCUGGUAUCAGCGGCUAAGCGAAAGCAUUAAGCAUCCCACCUGGGGAGUACGCCGGCAACGGUGAAACUCAAAGGAAUUGACGGGGGCCCGCACAAGCGGAGGAACAUGUGGUUUAAUUCGAUGAUACGCGAGGAACCUUACCCGGGCUUGAA
rnacentral:rRNA from 1 species